rnacentral:rRNA from 1 species
GAUGAACGCUGGCGGCGUGCCUAAUACAUGCAAGUCGAGCGAACAGACGAGGAGCUUGCUCCUCUGACUUUAGCGGCGGACGGGUGAGUAACACGUGGAUAACCUACCUAUAAGACUGGGAUAACUUCGGGAAACCGGAGCUAAUACCGGAUAAUAUAUUGAACCGCAUGGUUCAAUAGUGAAAGACGGUUUUGCUGUGACUUAUAGAUGGAUCCGCGCCGCAUUAGCUAGUUGGUAAGGUAACGGCUUACCAAGGCAACGAUGCGUAGCCGACCUGAGAGGGUGAUCGGCCACACUGGAACUGAGACACGGUCCAGACUCCUACGGGAGGCAGCAGUAGGGAAUCUUCCGCAAUGGGCGAAAGCUUGACGGAGCAACGCCGCGUGAGUGAUGAAGGUCUUCGGAUCGUAAAACUCUGUUAUUAGGGAAGAACAAAUGUGUAAGUAACUAUGCACGUCUUGACGGUACCUAAUCAGAAAGCCACGGCUAACUACGUG